UGCAACAAUUUCAAGUCAAACGUGUGAGC
rnacentral:piRNA from 1 species